AGAAGAAAUUGCUGGCCUAAAAGAAAUGUUCAAAAUGAUAGACACUGACAGUAGUGGUCAAAUCACUUUUGAAGAACUUAAGGCUGGUUUGAAAAGAUUUGGAGCUAAUCUUAAGGAAUCUGAAAUUUAUGAUUUAAUGCAAGCAGAAGCUCUGGAUGUUGUUCAUAUAAGCAAAGAAGAUUAGCACAGUGUAAAUUUUUUAAUGGUUUUUGACUGUGGGGCUUGCGAGGGCGAUGAUCAAGCAUAGUUUAGAAGUAGAGGGCUUACUUGAUGCAGUGGACAUUGUUGGAACAGGUGGUGAUGGAGCAAACACAGUUAACAUUUCGACUGGAGCUUCAAUACUUGCUGCAGCUUGUGGUACAAAAAUUGCAAAGGUGGCAUCAAUUUUAUUGAUUACUUGACAUGAAUGUGAUCCCAUAUUGUAAAUUGUUAGAGCUAAACUUGAUUUUUUUCCCUUUAAGCAAGGAUAUCGUUCAAGUUCUUCAGCAUGUGGAAGUGCCGAUGUAUUAGAAGAGUUGGGGAUAGUUAUCGACCUGGAACCUGAGGCAGAUGUAGAAAACAGUGGAACAAUUGAUUAUGGAGAGUUUGUAGCAGCCACUUUGCAUUUAAACAAAAUUGAGAGAGAAGAUCAUUUGUUCGUGGAAUUUUCCUACUUCGAUAAAGAUGGAAGUGGCUACAUUACUUAAGACGAGCUUCAACAUGCUUGCGAGGAGUUUGGAGUAGAGGACGUCCGGCUAGAAGAAAUGAUGCAAGAAGUUGAUCAGGAUAAUGUGAGUAUUUCUCUGAUGAUUAUUCUGUUACUGCACCAAUUGAAUAGCUGUAAAUUAAAAUUCAGAGAUUUAAAGAGUUGUUUUCCUUGCAUAGGGCAUAUGAUCAUUCAAAUUUUAUUUUGAGCCAUUAGUUGUUUUGUUUUGCAAAUAUCAAGAUGGACUCAUUAGAAUUUAAGAUCUUGUUUCUGUGGUUG